rnacentral:rRNA from 1 species
AAAAGAUUAAGUUAUUAAGGGCGCACGGUGGAUGCCUUGGCACUAGAAGCCUACGAAGGACGUUACUAACGACGAUAUGCUUUGGGGAGCUGUAAGUAAGCUUUGAUCCAGAGAUUUCCGAAUGGGGAAACCCAACACGAGUUAUGUCGUGUUAUCGAUAUGUGAAUACAUAGCAUAUCUGAAGGCAGACGC